GCAGUGAUACUGCUGGCACAAAUAGAACACGAAGACGGUUUCUGCUGUGUGCCUGACCACCUGACCUUCCGCACCCAGCCGAGCCCAAAUCAGACAGCAAUACCUCGCGGAAUGAACUAAGCACGGAAAGAAAUCGAAGGAGUAAUGAGGCAGCCGCUGCGUUUCGUGCUUCCAUCUGGCGCUGUUUGUCAUCCUUGCUGCUCGUGACUAUUCACCUUUUCACAAUCGAAGUUCUGCCGGAUCUGAGAUGGACCUUGCAUUGCACCUGCCACGUGCCUCGUAUCCGUCAUACUGCCUUGAUGACUGGCUCGUACGUGUGAGCAGCAAAGGGAACUGAUGUCAGUACAAAGAGGGACACUGUCACGCUACGCAUGGGCAAUUCGAACAGGAAUCCGGGAGAAGACAGGGUACAAGUGUGAGCAUCGCGGCUUAAUGGAAAGACAAAGCAGAAAUGAGCCAAGGGAAUGAAAAC